rnacentral:rRNA from 1 species
AACGAGCGCUGGCGGCAGGCUUAACACAUGCAAGUCGAACGCCCCGCAAGGGGAGUGGCAGACGGGUGAGUAACGCGUGGGAACAUACCCUUUUCUACGGAAUAGCUCUUGGAAACUGGAAUUAAUACCGUAUACGCCCUACGGGGGUAAGAUUUAUCGGGGAAGGAUUGGCCCGCGUUGGAUUAGCUAGUUGGUGGGGUAAAGGCCUAACAAGGCGACGAUCCAUAGCUGGUGUGAGAGGGUGAGCAGCCACAUUGGGACUGAGACACGACCCAAACUCCUACGGGAGGCAGCAGUGGGGAAUAUUGGACAAUGGGCGCCAGCCUGAUCCAGCCAUGCCGCGUGAGUGAUGAAGGCCUUAGGGUUGUAAAGCUCUUUCACCGAUGAAGAUAAUGACGGUAGUCGGAGAAGAAGCCCCGGCUAACUUCGUGCCAGCCGCCGCAGUAA